rnacentral:rRNA from 1 species
GACGAACGCUGGCGGCGUGCUUAACACAUGCAAGUCGAACGGAAAGGCCCUGCUUUUGUGGGGUGCUCGAGUGGCGAACGGGUGAGUAACACGUGAGUAACCUGCCCUUGACUUUGGGAUAACUUCAGGAAACUGGGGCUAAUACCGGAUAGGAGCUCCUGCUGCAUGGUGGGGGUUGGAAAGUUUCGGCGGUUGGGGAUGGACUCGCGGCUUAUCAGCUUGUUGGUGGGGUAGUGGCUUACCAAGGCUUUGACGGGUAGCCGGCCUGAGAGGGUGACCGGGCCAAUUGGGGACGGGGGUCCGGCCCGAGCCCCUCGGGGGGGCAGGAGUGGGGAAUUUUGCAAAAGGGGGGGAACCGUGAGGCAGCAACGCCGGGGGCGGGAUGGGGGCUUUGGGUUUGAAAACCGCUUUCGCCUGUGACGAAGGGGUGGUGGCGGUAAUGGGUAAAGAAGCCCCGGCUAACUACGU